AACGAACGCUGGCGGCAGGCCUAACACAUGCAAGUCGAGCGCGCCCUUCGGGGUGAGCGGCGGACGGGUGAGUAACGCGUGGGAACGUGCCCUUCUCUGCGGAAUAGCCUCGGGAAACUGAGAGUAAUACCGCAUACGCCCUUUGGGGGAAAGAUUUAUCGGAGAAGGAUCGGCCCGCGUUGGAUUAGGUAGUUGGUGGGGUAAUGGCCCACCAAGCCGACGAUCCAUAGCUGGUUUGAGAGGAUGAUCAGCCACACUGGGACUGAGACACGGCCCAGACUCCUACGGGAGGCAGCAGUGGGGAAUCUUAGACAAUGGGGGCAACCCUGAUCGAGCCAUGCCGCGUGAGUGAUGAAGGCCUUAGGGUUGUAAAGUUCUUUCAGCUGGGAAGAUAAUGACGGUACCAGCAGAAGAAGCCCCGGCUAACUCCGUG
rnacentral:rRNA from 1 species